rnacentral:rRNA from 1 species
AGUGAACGCUGGCGGCAGGCCUAACACAUGCAAGUCGAACGAGUGGCGGACGGGUGAGGAAUACAUCGGAAUCUACUUUUUCGUGGGGGAUAACGUAGGGAAACUUACGCUAAUACCGCAUACGAUUGAAUGAGCCGAUGUCGGAUUAGCUAGUUGGCGGGGUAAAGGCCCCCCAAGUCGACGAUCCGUAGCUGGUCUGAGAGGAUGAUAAGCCACACUGGAACUGAGACACGUUCCAGACUCCUACGGUAGGCAGCAGUGGGGAAUAUUGGACAAUGGGCGCAAGCCUGAUCCAGCCAUACCGCGUGGGUGAAGAAGGCCUUCUGUUUGUAAAGCCCUUUUGUUGGGAAAGCGGUACCCAAAGAAUAAGCACCGGCUAACUUCGUGCCAGCAGCCGCGGUAAUAC